rnacentral:rRNA from 1 species
AGAAUCAACGCUGGCGGCGUGCCUAACACAUGCAAGUCGAACGAGAAAGUGGAGCAAUCCAUGAGUAAAGUGGCGACCGGGUGAGUAACACGUGACUAACCUACCUUCGAGUGGGGGAUAACAUCGGGAAACCGAUGCUAAUACCGCAUAACAUCGCAAGAUCAAAGCAGCAAUGCGCUUGAAGAGGGGGUCGCGGCUGAUUAGCUAGUUGGCGGGGUAAUGGCCCACCAAGGCGAAGAUCGGUAUCCGGCCUGAGAGGGCGCACGGACACACUGGAACUGAAACACGGUCCAGACUCCUACGGGAGGCAGCAGUGGGGAAUUUUGCGCAAUGGGGGAAACCCUGACGCAGCAACGCCGCGUGGAGGAUGAAGCCCUUGGGGCGUAAACUCCUUUCGACCAGACGAUAAUGACGGUACUGGUGGAAGAAGCACCGGCUAACUCUGCGCCAGCAGCCGC